GAUGAACGCUGGCGGCGUGCCUAAUACAUGCAAGUCGAGCGAACAGACGAGGAGCUUGCUCCUCUGACGUUAGCGGCGGACGGGUGAGUAACACGUGUAUAACCUACCUAUAAGACUGGGAUAACUUCGGGAAACCGGAGCUAAUACCGGAUAAUAUAUUGAACCGCAUGGUUCAAUAGUGAAAGACGGUUUUGCUGUCACUUAUAGAUGGAUCCGCGCCGCAUUAGCUAGUUGGUAAGGUAACGGCUUACCAAGGCGACUAUGCGUAGCCGACCUGAGAGGGGGAUCGGCGACACGGGAACGGAGACACGGUCCAGACGCCUAAGGGAGGCAGCAGUAGGGAAUCUUCGGCAAUGGGCGAAAGCCUGACGGAGCAACCCCGCGUGAGUGAUGAAGGUCUUCGGAGCGUAAAACUCUGUUAUUAGGGAAGAACAAAUGUGUAAGUAACUAUGGACGUCUUGACGGUACCUAAUCAGAAAGCCACGGCUAACUACGUG
rnacentral:rRNA from 1 species